rnacentral:rRNA from 1 species
CCNUAAGACAUUAANGAAAUUCUGACUGAGGCGNAAGCUGGUCCCUAGCCGGACAUGUGCACGUCUCUUUCAAAAUCCACAAACACCUGUGCACCUUUGCGUGAGUCCACUGGGGUUGUACCCGAGGGGGCUUGCGUCCUUUUCACAAACUCUUGUAUGUCUUUAAGAAUGUCUAUCUUGAUGUAAUAAAACGCAUCUAAUACAACUUUCAACAACGGAUCUCUUGGCUCUCGCAUCGAUGAAGAACGCAGCGAAAUGCGAUAAGUAAUGUGAAUUGCAGAAUUCAGUGAAUCAUCGAAUCUUUGAACGCACCUUGCGCCCUUUGGUAUUCCGAAGGGCACACCUGUUUGAGUGUCGUGAAAUUCUCAACCCUCCUCACUUUUGUUGAUGGUAGUGGCUUGGACUUGGAGGCUUUGCCGGCUCUGUUCGGCUCCUCUCAAAUGCAUUAGUGGUGUCUCGUUGCGACCUACCCUCGGUGUGAUAAUUAUCUACGCUGUGGGCGUGCUCGCUUCUUGUGGGACGUGCUUCAAACGGUCUGAAAGGACAAAUCAUCGAAACUUGACCUCAAAUCAGGUGGGACUACCCGCUGAACUUAA